rnacentral:rRNA from 2 species
UAACAAGGAUUCCCCUAGUAACUGCGAGUGAAGCGGGAAAAGCUCAAAUUUAAAAUCUGGCGGCUUUGGUCGUCCGAGUUGUAUCCUAGAGAAGUGUUUUCCGCGUUGGACCGUGUAUAAGUCUCUUGGAACAGAGCGUCAUAGAGGGUGAGAAUCCCGUCUUUGACACGGACUACCAAUGCUUUGUGAUACACUCUCAAAGAGUCGAGUUGUUUGGGAAUGCAGCUCAAAAUGGGUGGUAAAUUCCAUCUAAAGCUAAAUAUUGGCGAGAGACCGAUAGCGAACAAGUACCGUGAGGGAAAGAUGAAAAGCACUUUGGAAAGAGAGUUAAACAGUACGUGAAAUUGCUGAAAGGGAAACGAUUGAAGUCAGUCGCGUUAGCUAGAACUCAACCAGGCUUGCUUGGCGUAUUUUCUAGUUAACGGGCCAGCAUCAGUUUUGACCGCAGGAAAAAGGCCAGAGAAAUGUGGCACCCUCGGGUGUGUUAUAGUCUUUGGUCAUAUACUGCGAUUGGGACUGAGGUUCGCAGCACGCGCAAGCUGUGCUUAGGAUGCUGGCGU